rnacentral:rRNA from 1 species
GAGGCAGCAGUGGGGAAUUUUGGACAAUGGGCGAAAGCCUGAUCCAGCCAUGCCGCGUGCAGGAUGAAGGCCUUCGGGUUGUAAACUGCUUUUGUACGGAACGAAAAGACUCUGGUUAAUACCUGGGGUCCAUGACGGUACCGUAAGAAUAAGCACCGGCUAACUACGUGCCAGCAGCCGCGGUAAUACGUAGGGUGCAAGCGUUAAUCGGAAUUACUGGGCGUAAAGCGUGCGCAGGCGGUUAUAUAAGACAGAUGUGAAAUCCCCGGGCUCAACCUGGGAACUGCAUUUGUGGCUGUAUAGCUAGAGUACGGCAGAGGGGGAUGGAAUUCCGCGUGUAGCAGUGAAAUGCGUAGAUAUGCGGAGGAACACCGAUGGCGAAGGCAAUCCCCUGGGCCCGUACUGACGCUCAUGCACGAAAGCGUGGGGAGCAAACAGGAUUAGAUACCCUGGUAGUCCACGCCCUAAACGAUGUCAACUGGUUGUUGGGUCUUCACUGACUCAGUAACGAAGCUAACGCGUGAAGUUGACCGCCUGGGGA